rnacentral:rRNA from 1 species
UACGGGGGGUGCGAGCGUUGUCCGGAAUCACUGGGCGUAAAGGGCGCGUAGGUGGCCUGAUAAGGGUGUGGUGAAAGUCCGGGGCCUCAACCCCGGAUCUGCCGUGCCGACUGUUCGGGCUAGAGUACUGUAGAGGCGGGUGGAAUUCCGGGUGUAGCGGUGGAAUGCGUAGAGAUCCGGAAGAACACCAGUGGCGAAGGCGGCCCGCUGGGCAGUGGCUGACGCUGAGGCACGAAGGCGUGGGGA